UUGGUCGGAGUUCCCGCCGAGGUGACUGGGCCAACGCGCUUCCCCCGCCCGGCCUCGGUAGUUCCAGAGAGGGCGGGACAAAGGUCGUUCUUCCGCUUUUAAUUGCUUGUGGUUGCUAGGGGCGCUCGGAACGGUAGGUGUGUGGUGAGAGUUCACGUUUUAGAGACGUUGUGAAGCCAUCCCAAGAUUGGCAACUGGGGAACUUGUAUGGAGAGUCGGUCUGUCUGAACCCUGGUUUGAUAGGUCCCUCGCCGACUCCCGCAAUCCCCGCCAGAGCACGUUGGUCCCAGUCUCUCUUCGCUCUUCACCUGCCCGGCCUUUGGCGGGACUCCUCGCUUUUCCGGCUCCGGCGCGGACUUCCUCCAGGUGCUGUGUGACGGCUUCCAGGACUCGACCUGGGAGGUGAUGAGGUGCGCUCCGGUGCGUCUGAGCGGGCGCCGGGGGCGAGUCCAGUCGCUUCAGCACUCCCCUCUCAUGGCUCGUUUGUUGAGAAAAGUUGGUGAGUUCUAGUCGGUAGGAAAGUCUUCAAGUUUCCGCACGGUCAAGCCUUCAGACUUGGACCAAAACAUCAGCUCUUCUUGGAUCUUGAGCCUGCCAACUUUCAGACUGGAACUUAUACCAUCGGUGUCCUGGUUCUCAGGCUUUUGAACUCAGACUGGAACUAAACAUUGGUUCUCCUAAGUCAUCAGCUUGCGGACUGCAGAUCUUGGGACUUCUCAGCCUCUCUAAUCAUCCCUAACCCCCAAUGUGAUGGUGAAGAAGAGAUACCAGAGAGCACUUUCCGCCCACCCCGUGAGGACAGAGUGAGAAUGAGAAGGUGGCUGUCUCCAAAUCAGGAAAAGGGAUUGCCAGAGCCUGAACAUGCUGGCACCCUGAUCUCAGACUUCCAGCCUCUAGAACUGUGAAAAAAUGAGUGUCUGUUGUUUAAGCCACCAAGUCUAUGGUAUUUCGUUAUAACAGCCCAAACUGACUUAAGACAGAACUUAUGGUAAGCCUCAGUGGAAAAAUCACAAUGCAGUCACUGGAACUUGAGCAAGGCCAUGCCAUCUGCAGCAGAGAAUUAUAUACGUUUUAAGAAACAGCUACUAAUGUGAUACUAGGCCUUGGAAGAAACCGAACACUUAACCGUGGGACUCCAAGUAGUCAUGUGUCCAAAACUGCCUGUUACGGCCUUGGUUCUUUUGGUGUUCAGAUGGACCCAGCAGCAUUUAUUGUAAGAUGGAAAUGGUGCAUCUGAGAUGGAGCUCAAGCACAACUGAGGUACUUGUAAGCUGCAUGACCAGGUAGUCCAGACCCCCAUGUCACCCACCACAACUGCACCAAUACCGUGACCAGCUGAAGGAGGGGUAAAGCCUGAGUUUGGUUUAUGGGUGAGUCAGCUUAAGAUGUGGAUGUAAGCCAAAGUUAGAUAGUGGCCGCAUUAUAGUCACAUACUUGAGAAGCUUUGAAAAAUAGUGGAGAGGAAAAAUCUUCCUAAUGGGUAGAGUUAGAAACAUUGUCCCUGGUCAUCUGGUUUGUGUAUAAGGAGAAACAGACUGAAGUAAGAAUAUAUAUAGAUUCUUGGGCAUGUGUCAAUGGCCUGGCCCGCUGGUAAGGGGCCGGGAAGAAAAAAGACUGGAAGACCAAAGACAAGAAGGUCUAGGGUAGAGUCUUGUGGGUGAAUAUACAUGAGUGGGCAUGAAGUGUGAAGAUUUUUGUAUCAUAUUUUGCACCCACUAGGGAAGAGGUACUAAACAAUUAAGUAGAGAAAAUAACUCAUGCAGUUGUCAUUACCAGCCUUAAUCAUUGGCUACCUUGGAACCAGCCUGAUGGGCACUGUUGUGGGUUAUAUUGUAUCCCCCCCAAAUUCAUACGUUAAAGUUCUAAUCCCCAAUACCUCAAAAUGUGACAUUUGGAAAUAGGGUUCUUGCUGUUGUAGUUAGUUAAAAUGACAUCAUACUGGAGUAGGAUGGGCCCCUAAUUCAAUGUGACUGGUAUCCUUAUAAACAGAAGGCCAUAUGAAGACAGAAAUAUGCAGAGGGAAUGCCAUGUGAAGAUAAAAACAGAGAUUAGGGUGAUGCAGGAGAAGCCAAGGAACACCAAAGAAGCUAGGGGAGAAGCAUGGAACAGAUUUUCCCUCACAGCCCUCAGAAGGAACCAAGCCUACUGACACCUUGGUCUCAGACUUCUAGCUUCCAGAAUUGUGAGACAAUAAAUUUCUGUUGUUUAAAUCACCAAAUUUGUGGUACUUUGUUAACGCAGCCCUAAGAAACUAAUACAGACACAUAAAUGGUGUGGCCUCAGUGGUAGAGAUAGAAGCUAUAUAUGGGCCCAGAAAGUAUGGACUCCAACUUUUUAAGGCUGAUCUAGCUACUAAUGCCUAAAUGUCCAACAUGUCAGCAAUAGAGACCAAUGCUGAGCCCCCAAAAUGGAGCUAUUACUCAUGGAGACAGUUGGCUACUUGGUGACAAGUUGACUACUUUGAGUCCCUUCCAUUCUGCGGGGGCCAGUGCUUCAUUCUCACAGUGAUAGAUAGCUAUUCUGGAUAUGGGUUUUCCUUUCCACCAACAGAUCCUCAGCCAACAUUACUGAAUUGGGAUUUGUGGAGUGUCUGAUCCACAGGCACAGAAUCCUGCAUAACAUAGCAUCCAACCAGGGCAACUGCUUCAUGGUAAAAGAAGUGCGAGAGUGGACCCAUGACCUAGUACCGCACCAGCCAGAAAAAGCUGACCUGAUAAAGAGCUGGAAUGGCUUUCUAAAGUCUCAAGUGAAAUGCCAUUCAUUUCACUUAUUCAUUAUUCCAGCCUCCCACAUGCUGCAGAGGCAACUCUGAAAAAACAAGAUGCUAUCAUUCAGGAUAUGUUAUACACAUUAAAUCCCAGGCCUUUAUGAACCCAAUAGGAAAAGUACAUAGGUCCACUAACCAAGGAGUGGAUGCAGGAAUAGCUCCAUUUACCUUUACUACCAAUGACCCACUAGAGGAUUUUGUGCUUCCUGUACCCACAAACCUGGGAUAUAUAGGGCUGGAGGUACUGGUCCCCAACGGGAUUGCACUCCUGUUAAGGGACACAGCAAAGGUCCCAUUGAACUGUAAGCUAUGACUGCUGCUGGGGCACUUUGGACUCAUUAUUCCAGGGACCAGUAGGUGAAAAGAGAAGUCACCAUCAUGACAAGGAUAACUGACCCUGAUCAGUAGGAGAAGGUAUCACGGCUUUUUACAGAAUCCAUGUGAUCCACUUGGGCAUCUCCUGAUACUCCCUUGCCCCACUGUAACUGUGAACACAUGCAGCAACUCUGGACUAAGAAGGGUGUGGUUACUAGGAGCUCAGUCCCCUCAAGAAUAAGGGUUUGGAUUAUACCACCACAUAAGCCACCAAGACCUGCUAAGAUGAAAACUGAGGGUGAGGGGAAUUUAGAGUGGAUAGUGGAAAAGGGAGAGAAUGAGUAUCAACUGUGGCCUCCAGACCAAUUUCUAUAGUUCAUUCCACUAACCUUCCUCUUUCAAGUUUCUCAUCAGGAAGAGAGGCCCAUGGAAACCAUGGAAGAGCUUCUCCCCAAACCAACAAGAAGAAGUGUAUAGAUCAGUGGGUCAAAGGAGUGGACUGUGGUGUUUCUGAAAAUGUGCCACUGGAUUUCCUGCUGUGCGUAGCAUAGUUAACUGAUGAACCCAGAUACUGAUCUGGAUCCACCAGUGUGUUCACAUCUGAGGCCACAUUUCCCACAACCUACUCCUACCUAACUACUGAGCAUGGUAGAGUAAUAAUGCAGGUUCAUUCCUUCCAGACUUGGGACUCCUCUAAUGGGACACUUUGGCUUGAGAACUACUGUUGGGAUUCAGAGCUCAGAGGGAAAUUGAGAGAAAGGAAAUUUUUGCAAAGACAGUUUAAAAAGAAAAUAAAGGGACUUCCCCGGUGGUGCAGCGGUUAAAAAUCUGCCUGCCAAUGCAGGGGACACGGGUUCGAGCCCUGGCCCGGGAAGAUCCCACAUAAUGCAGAGCAGCUAAGCCUGUGUGCCACAACUGCUGAGCCUGCGCUGUAGAGCCCGUGAGCCACAACUACUGAGCCCGCGAGCCACAACUACUGAGCCCAUGAGCCACAACUACUGAAGCCCGUGCGCCUAGAGCCCGUGCUCCACAACAAGAGAAGCCACUGCAAUGAGAAGCCCAUGCACUGCAACGAAGAGUAGCCCCUGCUCACCACAACUAGAGAAAGCCUGCAUGUAGCAGCGAAGACCCAACACAGCCAAAAAUAAAUGAAUAAAUUAAUUUUUAAAAAAGAAAAUAAAUAUAAAAUCAGAAAUUGAUAAAAAUAGAAAGCAAAAAAAUGAGAAAAUCAACAAGAGCAAAACUUAUUAAUCUCCAAAAAGACAAAAAAUUAAUCACCUCCUAGCAAGGCUAAUCAAGGAAAAGUUUAAGAGAACACAUUACUAAUAUCAGCAAUAAAAUAGGGGCAUCACCACAAGUCCUAUAGCUAUUAAAAAUAUAAGAGGAUACAACUUUAUACCAAUAAAUUUGGCAAUUCAGAUGAAGUGGAAAAUUUUAUUGAAAAAUAAAGCUUAUCAACACUGAAACAAUAACCAACAGGAAAUUCUAUAUUUUGUAUUUUAAAGGAAUUGAACUAAUCAUUAAAAACCUCUCUACAAAGAAAACUCCAGAUAGCAUCACUGAUGAAUUCCUUCCAACAUGUAUAUUUCUUUCAGAAAGGCAUAAAAGGCAUAUUCACACUUCCUGAUGCUUAUAUAUCACACAGUCUAUUUGUGGAUUAACUUCCCCCUGCUCCAUGUCUCAUUCAUUUAGCACCUACUAUGCAUUAUGUUAAGAGUUGUAGAAACGAAGAUGGAUAAAGCUUUUGGCAGAGGGAGCCUUCAGGUUGGUGGAAGAAGCAGAUAUAUAACGUAAAUGCAAUGAAAUAAGUGCUAAUGAAGAUUUUUGUAAAGUACUAUGAGAGAUGGGUGUGAAUCUAGGGAAGGAAAGGCUUUAACAGGCAUGAGAAGUGAAACAAUAUGCCAUGUGCUGUUGUCAAAAAAAAUUGAUACCUCAGGAUUAUUCCUUGGCUUCUGCUUUUCAUUCUUCCUAAUUUCAUCCACUCUCAUAUUUGUCCCUUUCAUAUAUAAUUUAAUCAUUACAAAAUUUGUAUCUCUAGCCUCUACCCUCUCUUGAGCUCCAGGCCUAAAUAUUCAAAUAUCCAGACAACUCACCUACUCAAGGACUUUGCUUCCACACUUAUUCUCCUCUCUCUCCUGCAUCACCAGUCCUCCCUCCCUUCUUGAAGAAACCCUCCCUUGAUGGCAUAUGUCUCUUCGGCUACUACACUACUUUUCUGCUCCCCUUUAUAUAGAGAAUCUUCUCACUUUCUUUCUACUGCAUCUUAACCUUUUAUGAUACUUAAAAACUUUUUUUUAUAAAUUUAUUUCUUAUUGGCUGUGUUAGGUAUUCGUUGCUGCGCGUGGGCUUUCUCUAGUUGCAGCGAGCAGGGGCCACUCCUCGUUGCAGUGCGCAGGCCUCUCACUGCAGUGGCUUCUCUCGCUGCAGAGCACAGGCUCCAGGCAUGUGGGCUUCAGUAGUUGCAGCACGUGGGCUCAGUAGUUGUGGCUCACGGUCUCCAGAGCACAGGCUCAGCAGUUGUGAUGCACGGGCUUAGCCGCUCCGCAGCAUGUGGGAUCCUCCCAGACCAGGGAUUGAAUCCUUGUCCGCUGCAUUGGCAGGUGGACUCUCAACCACUGCACCACCAGGGAAGCCUGAUACUUAAAAACUUUUAUGAGUCUUUUAUCCCUGCUACUCUUCUAAGACUACCUUUACCUGGCUUCUACCCUCUUGAUCACUACUACUGUAGUCCAAACCACCAUCAUCUCUCACCUAGACUUAUCAAGGUCACCAAUAACCUUCGUGUUGCCAAAUCCAAUUCUCAACUUACUUGACCUAACAGCAGCAUUUAAGCAGUUGAUCAUUUCCUCUUUCUUGAAAGACUAUCUUUACCUGGCUUCUACCCUCUACUGAUUUUCUUCUCACUUCACUGGACACUUCUCAGUCUCUUUGUUGGAUCUUCUUUCUCUUCUCAACCCUUAAGUAUUAGAGUAUUCUAGUGUUCCAUCCUUGGACUUCUACUCAGUUUUAGCUUACACUCAUCUUAGAAAAUCUUAACCAAUUCCAUCAUCUUAAAUGUCACCUAUAAGCCAAUAAAUCCAAAAAUGUAUAUCUAUAGAUUUAACCUCUCCCCUGAACUCCAGACUCAUAUCUCCAAUAACUAUUCUACUUGGAAGUCUAACAGUAUUCCAAACUAAACAUGUCUAAAAUCAAACUCUUGAGUCCCUGUUUAUCAAACCUAAUUCCCUUCAGUCUUCUCCAUCUCAGUAACUGGCUCUGUGAUUCAGCCUGUUGCUCAGGCCAGAAAUAUUGGGGUCAUUGUUGACUGCUCUCUUUUUCUACUACCCUCAUUCAAUCCAUCAUCACAUUGCAUCAGCUCUGCCUUCAAAAUAUAUCCCAGGGCUUCCCUGGUGGCGCAAUGGUUAAGAAUCUGCCUGCCAAUUCAGGGGACGUGGGUUCAAACCCUAGUCCGGGAAGAUCCCACAUGCUGUGGAGGAACUAAGUCCGAGUGCCACAACUACGGAGCCUGCGCUCUAGAGCCCGUGAGCCACAACUACUGAGCCCGUGUGCCACAACUCCUGAAGCCAUCAUGCCUAGAGGCCAUGCUCCACAACAAGAGAAGCCACUGCAAUGAGGAGCCUGUGCACCUCAACGAAGAGUAGCGCCUGCUCACCACAACUAGAGAAAGCCCACAUGCAGCAAUGAAGACCCAACACAGCCAUAAAUAAAUAAAUACAUUUAUAAAAAUAUAUAUAUAUAUCCCAAGUCUGAUCAGUUCUCACUAACUUGAUCACUACUACUCUAGUCCAAACCGCCAUCAUCUCUUACAUAGAUCCCUUCCUUGUAACUGGCUACCCAGCUUCCACACUUCCCCCAUGAUAGUCUUUUGGGAGUGAUCCUUUUACAGUAUAAGUUAGGAUAUGGUACUCCCCUAUUCAAAAAUCCUCCAACGAUUCACAUCACACUUAAAAUAAAACCCAAGGUUUUUUCCAUGAUCUACGAGGUCUUUUGCUAUAUUCUGACAUUAUCUUCUCCCAUUCUCCCCUUCCUUUUUUUUGUGCUUCAGUCACACUAGUCUCAUUGUUAUUCCUCAAAUAUAUGACAAGCACAUUCCCAUCUCUGGACAUUUGCACUUGCUGUUCACUCUGCCUAAAAUACUCUUUCUCCAGAUAUUCACAUGGCUCAUUUCUCUGUUCAAAUGUCACCCCCUCACAGGGACUACUUCAUCUAAAAUAACUCCUUCAUUUGCUGGGAUUUUACUCUGCUCUAUUUUCUUUCAUAGCUUGUAACAUUAAAGGGAUUAUAUCAUGUAUGCAUUUGGGUUUUUUUAAUUAUUUUUUUUUAUUUUUUAACAUCUUUACUGAAGCAUAAUUGCUUUACAAUGGUGUGUUAGUUUCUGCUUUGUAACAAAGUGAAUCAGCUAUACAUAUACAUAUAUCCCCAUAUCCCCUCCCUCUUAUGUCUCCCUCCCACCCACCCUAUCCCACCCCUCUAGGUGAUCACAAAGCACCAGGCUGGUCUCCCUGUGCUAUGUGGCUGCUUCCCACUAGCUAUCUAUUUUAUGUUUGGUAGUGUAUAUAUGUCCAUGCCGCUCUCUCACUUUGUCCCAGCUUACCCUUCCCCCUCCCCGUGUCCUCAAGUCCAUUCUCUAGUAGGUCUGUGUCUUUAUUCCCACCCUGCCCCUAGGUUCUUCAUGACCUUUUUUUUUUAGAUUCCAUAUAUAUGUGUUAAAAUACGGUAUUUGUUUUUCUCUUUCUGACUUACUUCACUCUGUAUGACAGAUUCUAAGUCCAUCCACCUCACUACAAAUAACUCAAUUUUGUUUCUUUUUAUGGCUGAGUAAUAUUCCAUUGUAUAUAUGUGCCACAUCUUCUUUAUCCAUUCAUCUGUCGAUGGAUAGUUAGGUUGCUUCCAUGUCCUGGCUAUUGUAAAUAGAGCUAAUGAACAUUUUGGUACAUGACUCUUUUUGAAUUAUGGUUUUCUCAGGGUAUAUGCCCAGUAGUGGGAUUGCUGGGUCAUAUGGUAGUUCUAUUUGUAGUUUUUUAAGGAACAUCCAUACUGUUCUCCAUAGUGGCUGUACCAAUUCACAUUCCCACCAGCAGUGCAAGAGGGUUCCCUUUUCUCCUCACCCUCUCCAGCAUUUAUUGUUUGUAGAUUUCUUGAUGAUGGCCAUUCUAACUGGUGUGAGAUGAUAUCUUAUUGUAGUUUUGAUUUGCAUUUCUCUAAUGAUUAAUGAUGUUGAGCAUUCUUUCAUGUGUUUGUUGGCAAUCUGUAUUCCUUCUUUGGAGAAAUGUCUAUUUAGGUCUUCUGCCCAUUUUUGGAUUGGGUUGUUUGGUUUUUUGAUAUUGAGCUGCAUGAGCUGCUUGUAAAUUUUGGACAUUAAUCCUUUGUCAGUUGCUUUGCAUUUGUUUAUUGGAUAUAUUAUCUGCCUUCCACACUAGAAUGCAAGCUCUAUAAGGGCAAGGAUUCAUGUUUUGUUCAGUCACCAAGUCCUAUCAAUUCUACCCCUUAGAAAUAUCUUCAUUCCAUCUUCUUCUCCAUUAUCACUACCUUCGCCUUAAUUCAGUUGCCAUCACCACUUGCUAGGACUAUUAUAGUAUUCUCCUACUUGACUUUCUGCCUUCACCUUCUUUUGAUGUCUUUCUCUCCCAUUACUUACCAGUUUGAUAGCACUGUAGUUGAUAUGUAUUCAUGUCUCUCCUACGUAGAAUCCUUUGUAGGGGACACCCUCUUUGCCUACUGGAUAAAAUUCAAGCCCCUCAACACAGCAUCCAAGUCACCUCCUGCAACCUCCUCACCUUUACCAGCAGCACCAAACUGCUUAUAUCUCCUCAUGUCCUUGCCUGUGUCCUUGGGACAUACUGGUUCUUCUACUUAAAUGUCCUUUCCUGACUCUCAGAGAUAGAUAAAUAUUUCUUCCUUUGGCCAUACUUCUAUUGCAUUUAUUAUACUGUGGUGGAAUUUUUUUCUUUUUUUGCUUACAUGUAGGUCUCUUAUUAAUCUAUGAGCUCUUAAGGGAAGAGAGUUGUGUUUUAUUCAGGCCACAGCUUCUGUCACACAAUAAGGGGUAGAUGAAGAUUGGAGUAGGGCAUGGAGAACGUUCACAGUAGAAGGGACUGUGUGUGUAAAUACUCUGAGGCAUGAGGGGGCUUGGCAUCUUCAGAAAAGAGAGAAGGGCUGUGUGACUGACCCAGUGAAUAAAGGGGAGAGCGGCAGGAGGCAAGCUAGAAAGACUGUGGGAACCAGAUCACGCAAGGCCCUUGUCGAACAUGCAAAAGAUCUUGAACAUCAUCCUAUGAAGCCUCUAAAAGAUUUUAAGGAGAAUAAAGGUAAAAUUUGCACUUAAAAAAAAAACCCUCAUGAAGCUUGCUAUGUAAAGAAUGGAUUGAAUGAGUACAAGAACAAAUAGAGAGAGACCUGUUGGACACUAGUGCAGUCAUCCAGGUGAAAAGGGAUGAUGCAUUGGCCUGGGUUGGCAGCAGUGGGGAUAGUGAAAAGUAAACAGAUUCAAGAUAUAUCUUGGAGGUAAAAUGAACAGGACUUGAUAGGACAAAAGGGGGUGAGGAAGAUAGAUGGCACAACUGAAUGGCUGAUGGUAUCAUUUGCUGAAAUGCAGAUUUGUCCUAGGAAGUUCAAAGGAGCAAUAGCUAAGUUUUGAGAAGUUGAGUUUGAGAUGCCCGAGUAUGAGACAUAUAAAGGGAUAUGCUGAAAAGGCGGCUGAAUAUGGAGGUAUGAAUUUCAGAAGAGAGGUCUGAGCUGGAAGAAUAGCUAGGAGUCAUGAGCACACAGACUGUGUCUAAAGCCAUAAGAGUUGAUACGAGAGCCAAGGAGACAUGGUAGCAUGAAAACAGAAGAGGAUUAUGGAUGAUGCAGAGUUGAGAAGAAAUUCAUUGGAUUGGAGAUAAUGAGAACAGGAAGCUAAGAGGCCACAUGGACUUUAUAAUUGCCCAGGGGAGUGGCAGAAGUUGAGGGGACAGGAAGGCCAUGAGCCAGGUGCUUGCAGAUCUUCAGAGAAUGAGAAAAGUGGCCAAGAGUUUGGAAGAUCAUUGCAUUCAGAAGGGAGAAAAGAUGAAUGGUUAGAUGACAUGAACCUGAAAAAGGCACAUUUUGCAAGAGGGAGAGGGAAUAGUGAGGAGAAACAACCUAAAUUUCCCCUUAAUUGUAUUCUCUGUUUCAGAUAAUGAGGAUCUUCAAGAAUGUCUUCGAACUGCAGGUUAAAUAGGCUCAAAGAAAUCCCACCCCUAUUGUUCCAGACUAAGCCCAUCCCCUGGGGCUUAAUCAAGGCAGAGAAGCUGCCAGAGCGAGGAGGCCAAACCUGUGGGAAGGUGGCAUGGAAUAAGAAUGGCAACUAAGAAGCUGUACUAAGAGUUCAGGUGAGAGCAGGUGAGAGAUUGAAUGAAUGCAGAGGCAGAGGGGACAGCAGGGAGAGAGAGCUUGAGGAAACAUCUCUAACAUAGCUGGAGACUGAGUUCAAUCAUGUGACCAAUGAUCCAAUCAGUCAUGCCUUCCCAGUGAAAUCCCAAUAAAAUAUCUUGAUGCUGAGGUUCAGAGGAGUCCCUGGUUGGUGAACACGGGUGUGCUGGGAAGGUGACAUGUCCUGGCUCCCCAGGGAGAAGAUAUGGGAGCUCCAUGUUGAAGACCCUCCCAGACCUCACCCUAUGUGUCCCUUCAUUUGGCUGGCCCUGGUUGUAUCCUUUAAAUAAAACUGUAAUUGUUAAGUGCA